AAGGACAUUACAUCAAAGUUGGAUCAGCCUGUAGUGUGGUAUUCCACUUUAAUUUUGAGUGUGACUCCAAAUCCAGACCUCCAUGGGUUGAUAAAUUGGAUUUCCAUUGAUUAUUUUUGUGUGAUUUUGUUGUCAGCACAUUCAACUAUGUAAAGAAAAAAGUAUUUAAUAAGAUGAUUUCUUUCAUUCAGAUCUUGGAUGUGUUGUUUAAGUGUUCCCUUUAUUUUUUUGAGCAGUAUAUUUAAUGUAAGUAGACAUGCAAUCAUAAUUGACUGUAGCGUAUAUAAAGUACCCACGAGCUACCGGUGGCUGAAAACGCAAUUAUCGAGGGAUGAACGAGUGUUACAUUUCCGGGCAAGGGCGGGCCAUUUAAAAAUCAUUCCUUUCUCCCUUCCUCGCUCUGCAAGUGUGUACUCGUCAGACGUCAUGAGAAGAGCAGUCUCUCCCUGAGGGUGUGGCAGUAUUUGGCAGUGCUCUAACCUUGCAGGGUCCUGUCGAGCUCUACCAUGCAGGGCUGUAUGAGUGUGAGGCCUCCUACUACAGCCACAGGGCAUCUGUACUGCUGGACAUUACCGUUAACCCACAUGUCAAGCAGCCUGGUAGGAGCAGAGCCUUGUCUACAUAUCAUAGUGACUGUUCCUCCCAGCAUAAGGAUUGAUGUCCAGAACAGACUGAGUGACAGAUUCAUUGAGUGCCUGGCUGCAGACUCCGUCCCUGUUGCCAAUGUGUCCUGGGUUCUACCUGAGGGUGUGUCUGGGCCCUCCUGGUCCAGUCUCACAUCCCAUAAUGGAACCUACUCUGUCAGCAGUGUGCUAGUCCUGCCUGCCUGCUCAGCCCAGGAGCUCAAUAUGGAGUGUGUGAUAGAUCAUACUGGGUUUGUGUUGCCAGAGAGAAGACAGAUAACACUCCCUGUGUGUGGUAUGUUCAACAAAUCAAUUAAAGCUCUAAUGUUAAAAUAAAAUAUUUACAUUGAGAACAUGUAUCCUAUAUCGCUGUUAUUUUAUUUACAUUGAGAACAUGUAUCCUAUAUCUCUGUUAUUUUAUUUACAUUGAGAACAUGUAUCCUAUAUCUCUUAUUUUAUUUACAUUGAGAACAUGUAUCCUAUAUCUCUAUUUUAUUUACAUUGAGAACAUGUAUCCUAUAUCGCUGUUAUUUUAUUUACAUUGAGAACAUGUAUCCUAUAUCUCUAU
rnacentral:lncRNA from 1 species